GGGUUGUUAGCUCAGUUGGUAGAGCACCCGCUUAGCAUGCGGGAGGUACGGGGAUCGAAGCCCCGAUGAUCCA